ACAUCGGCUGCGCAGGAACCAGAAGUUUCAGGGGUAAACCAAGGAACUGAACUUUUUAUACACUUAUCGUGUGUCUGAUCGCGGGGGUCCGACUGCUGGGACCCACCAUGCAAUGUCCUAUAUGGCUUCCUAGAUACUUAUACAUCUCCACCUUCCUGGACAAACAUAAGUGAGGCGAGACUUCACUGCGGGAGGUUCCAGGCUGUGCCCACUCAUCAAUCCUUGAUCUGCGUAUAAUUCAAGAUGACAAGAUUUCCAUAUCUAGCUUUCUGUUCUUCAGGGUUCAUACACUUCAAGGAGACUUCUUCAACCGAAACGGCCCGGUGUAUGACAACAGAAUUGCCAGUGCUCAUCCUCGGGCCGUGCGGGAUGAGUGUCCUUGAUGAGAUCUCCUCCCACCAUGCAGUUUAUCUUCCACAUGCCAAAGGGCUGUGACUGAGAUGAAUGUCUGCAAUGUGAACACCAGUGGAAUCAACAGAUGACAUAAGUCAAGUCAGAGCAAAGAGAAAGCACAAAGGAGAUUUACAAAGACUGGAGGAAGACAACCAUAUGACACAGCUGAAAAAACUUCAUGAACCAUUUCCUAAACAACUGUGUGCACAUAGUCUGGGAGUUCACAUGGGGUGUUUUAAUGUCUGCAAUUAUUACAACCAUAAAAAGUGCAUGGUACUUAUCGUACUUUUAACGUCUGUUUUAUGUGCGAAAUAAUGUGUAUUCGUUUUCUUGCACGUUUUUGGUAC